rnacentral:lncRNA from 1 species
CCACCCCGCCACACACUGUCCCGAGUGCUGAGAAUCGUAUAAGGAACAAGGAACCUUCACACAAGCUACAGCUGUAGACAGGAAAUCAAUGGAUACAGGGUCCUGGCAGCAAAGGAUCUGGGGAUGCUGAGAAGGCUGAUGGACAAAGCUGUGAUGGCAUCACAGCUUAACUGUCAAGUAACUGUCACCUGUUUCGUAAAGUGUGAGAUCAAACUGUCUAUUAGACUCUUCUAAGCCCUCUAGGUUGCUUUUCUUCGACUUCUUCUGAAACCUUUCUUCUCAAUUCCGUAAUAAAAAAUACAGCUGACGCUCGAAAAAGCCCAGGUUUGAAUGGUGUGGACCUACUAAGUGUGGACAGAGGUAGUCCCAGUUCAUCAUCAGGGGACACCAAGGCAAGAACUCACGGCAGGAACCUGGAGGCAGAGACUGAAGUAGAAGCCAUGGAGGAACACUGCUUACUGACUUGCUGUCCACGGCUCAUCUAUGUUAUAUAGGCCAGGCUCACCUGCCUGGGAAUGGCACCGCUCAUAGUGGGAGGGAGCAGGACCACUGACUGGCCAGCCAUACUCUGAGGUGCCCAUAAAUGCAGUGCCUGCCAAGGACAGAAGAGGACGCCAUUUCCUGCAGCUGGAGUUAUAGGAUGUUGUAAGCCACCCCACAUGGGUGCUGGGAACUGAACUUGGGUCCUCUGGAAGAGUGACAAGCACCCUUAACUGGGCCACAGUGACACAAACAGCCGGAUGCUGGCACGUGCACAGCCGGGUGGACCAAUGGGCCAGGCAGAGAUAAAGCCACAUAGCUGUGUGCAUCUGAAGCUCAGCGAAGAUGCCCAGAGCAUGCAUUGGAGAAAGGACAGCUUCUGCUCACACGGUGCUGGAAAAGUCGGAUCCUUGACUCUUGCUCAGCAGAAAACCCAACUCAGGAUGAAUCAAAGGCAGGAGUGUUAAACACAACGAUUUCAAAGGCCAUCCCAGAGGGCGUACUUCAAGACACACAGGCAUAGGCUUUCUGCAUAGGACUUGAGUGGCCCAGGAAAUAACAGCCAGAAUCGACAGUGACAUGAGAUCAAAAACCCACAUAGCAAAGGGAGCUAUUUACUG